UUGAUCCAUAAUUCUUGGGCAAAUCUUAUGGUAUUUCGUCACAAUUUUAACGAUUGCCAUAAUUUAGGUGAUCAUCAAGAUGUUCGGUGCUUUAAAUUUCUGACCAAGGCAGGAUCCUGGCCGGGCCGACCCAGUUGGCAAAUUUAGCAGCACGCUACUCCAUUCGCGGAACGACGUCGUUGCAGGGAGCAGAGAAGCUUUGCUCAAAGUCGUAAAAGUGGAAGGCAUUUCCGAGGAGGAUGAUAAUGAUGGUGAUGCAGAAGCUAACGAGAAAAUGGAGAAAUUCUCGACGAGAAUCUCAGUACGACGAGGACGAUAAAUUCUCUUUACCAACUCGCGACGAUGGUCGUCCCAUUGAUACCCAAGAACAAGAAGAGUUAGUUCGAUCUCUCGAGAAAGUUCAAACUCAGCAAUCUCUUCUCUGGAGGGGUGUGUUCUCGGGCCUACUUUUGUGUUAUGUGGCUUUUCUAAUAUACUCAAUCUAUCAACAGGCAUAUUAUCCCUGGGAAUUGUAUUUUAAUAUGGUUAACAGCGAUAUCAUGCUUACUUCAUGUAUGAAGUUGACUCAUGGACCAUCAUUGCUGCAGAUUGGGCAGCUAUUUUGACGUGCUUAAUGACCAUAAAGGGCUUACUGCAUGAAUCGAAAUAUCAUAGGAGGUGGCUAUGGUCUUCAUGCUGCAUUGGCAUGAUUGUAGCAGUGUUUUGGCUGAAUCACAUGCUAAGGUUGGCAAAAUUUAGAUGGGAUAUUUUGUGGCUACCUGUAGGGCCCCUUAGUGGAGCUGGAAUCUGCAUUUACAUAGACCAUUUACUAAAUGUGUCAUCUGAAGAAGUACGGAAACUUAGAGGAUAUAUGUAUGCAUAUAAAGCCAGGUAAAGAGUUUAGAGGAUGUAUUUAUGGGCCCUUAAAUCCAGUUAAGAAUGUCACCCUAAUCGAUUUGUAGCACUCAACUAGUUCCAUUAUAGAUUUUCCCUCUUUUUGUCUGGUGUACGAUGACUAUGAGAUGUACUGUAAAGUUUCGGAGAGUGAGUCUGAUAGGAAAGGGCUGAAAUUAAUGGCGGAAACUCUUUUAUUCCAUCAUUCCAUUUCCCUCGAUGGGAAUUCUCUGUUCUCGAUAUAUGGCACUGUAAAUACUUUGUUCCUGGUACUAAUAUACUUUCGUUCUGGUGGGAAUUUUUGUUCCCCUGCGAA